UUCUUUUGAUUGUCAGAGAACUUAAGUACACUAUUUGUAGAUUUUGUUGUGUAGUGAAUAAGUUUUUUAAUUUGCCUUGUGAAGGUCUGUUAAGAGGGAGCCAGACACUUCAGCUUACUGCUUUUGCAGCCACUCAUAUCCUGUCUAGAACCACAGGAUCCAGGAUGUUAUCCUCAGCCCCUAGUUCUUAGCAUCCUGAUGAGUCACUGUUGACUGUCCCUGGUGAGGAUUGGUGUUUAUACCCUUAUCGUUGUUGGGAGUAGUGAGUAGUGCACCUCCUGAGCCAAGACUGCACUGAUCUGUUUUAGGCUUUUGUGCUUUCUUGCAGUAGGAACAAUGAGCAGUAUUGCAGUUUUAAUGAUGACGGAUUUAACUGCUCCAUCAAGACUGUCUUGAACUUAAGGCUUUUAUUUCUCAGGGGCUUAAAGACAGUAAAGUCUUAUUCAGUAAUAGAAUUUUAAUGCCACUAUCAUCUUAACUAAAAGAGAACCAACACGCAACUUGAAGAGCUUGAAAGCUUCCUUAAAAUCUUCUCAUAUGAGCGGUUAAAGCAUAUAUCUAUUAGCUUACUGCCUGAUACCAGAUUCAACUUCUUGUCAUUUUAGUUUCUAUUGCUUACAUUUUCUCCAAAUGUCAACCAUGUUCCCAGGUACUGUUCAGAAAUGGGGGGUUGUGUGCAGAACUUCAAUUUCUGCUGCCCUGAGUAGCCCUUAUGUGUAAAUGGCUUUUACUAACAGCAACUCUGAAUUACCAGCAGUUAACACUGUAGAACCAAAUGAAGCCAUUGCAGUCCUUUUGAGUGCUUGGGAAUUUAUGUAUGAUUUGAGGUAAAGAUGUCAUGCACACUGUUUUUAUUUUAGUUCUUUUUCUUUUGUCCUCUUUUUUGAGUUCUUUGCAUAUAUAUUACUUGCACUGAAUUCUUUAGCUUCUGUCCCUUAAAUUCUAGUGGGAAAAAGUACACUUUGUUUUUUGAUUUGUAAAGUCUAGAAUAAGAAAACACACUCUAUGAGACUAUUUAAUGAAGGGACCUGGCAAUGUAAGUAUUGUGAUUUCCUUUGUUUGUGGAAGGCAACAGGAUUACUUUGUUAAACUUCUGGCUUAUGUAUGAAAAUUAUCAGAAAAGAGCAAAUUGACUUUAGUUUUAUAGUUGCCUUUACUUCAUAUGCUUUUCUUAAGCAAUAAAUGGCAGUAAUUGAAGUUUGGCAACUUUUUUAAUGAAAAAAAAAAAUCAAUUCUGGGUUAAACUCCUUGAUUUAAUACAAUUUGUGUUUCUGUUAACUAGCAGCAGAAUUUCAGCAUUUGCUACUUACUGGUAGAGAAGAAAAAUUCCACAGCACUGCCAGUACAGAGCAAAACACUGGAGAGGUAGCCUCAAAGAUGUGUCCUUGCAUCUCCUGUCUACUGGACAGGAAUGGAUUGCUCUGCCAGUCUGGUUGGUCUUGCUUACCUACCACUGUUCCUCAUACCAGUUUCUUGGAGAUGGUAAAAGGCAGUUUUUGCCUGUGCCCAGAUCUUGGCAGAAGUUGGAAAAGCAAAUCCUUCCUUGCUACUGUUAGAACUGCAUCUUCAGGUAGGGCAGUUAAGCGUGUGUGGAAAUGGUAGCUCAUCCCAAAGGUUGUUGCUUAGUUUAAAUCAUUAAGACUUAAGCCAUUUUAGUGACAACAUGGUACCAAACAAAGUGAAACUCCAGGAAAAGCAGGCAGCUAUAGGAUUGGAGGCUUCAUGUGCCACAAUGGUUGUGUGCAGACAGGAAACUCCUUUGCGUUUUUCAAAUUAGUGGAUCGGGAUAGACAAUGUUUUCAAGCUUGGAUAUGUACCAGCAUGGGUAUCCCUCAGCAGAGCCUGGCUCCAU